UUCAUCUUCUGAUCUUUCGACUUUUUCUUAUAACUUAAGAGUUACUUAUACAAUAGUACUGUCUACGCCAUGGAACACUAAUCCAUUCCAUUCCUUUAUGUGGCUCCUCCUUUCAUCCUCUCCUGGGAUCUUUAGCAAAAACAUUUUUUAUUAUAGCUUUUGAUUUCCCCCUCAGCUCCUCUUCAUCCUUCAAAGCUUUCUUAGCAUUCUUCUUCUUCUUUAGAGUAGCCACAACAACCUCCUCAACCUCUUCUUCAGCCAAAUCCUUGAAUAGCACUAAACCAGUAACCCAAUAAUUAAAAUGUAACUUUGUCUACCUAAACCAAUGAUUUGAAAAUUAGACCCUACAUAACUAACAUAAUAAAAGCACAAUCGAUUACUAUAACCCUAAACUAAGGUGACUUCUUCUAGUUUUUGCCUCCAGUGACCUUCUCAUUCUUCUCAUCAUCGAUCUUUUUCUUCUUCUCCUCUUCAUUAGCUAUCUUUUUUUUUUCUCCUCAUAUCCCUCAAUGAUUAGAUCAUAGAUAUGUCUUAUAAUUGAUGGUUUAUCACUCUCUUAAAUGGUGAAGGAUAGUCUCUUAUUCUUCACACUCACCACCAAUUUGACGUAUCUUCCACUUGGCUGUUGAAACAUAUAAUACUACAAAAAAAUGAUUAAUUUCCUAUGGUCAGUUGCGUCAAAAAUUGGUAGGAAAGAGUAUUUUUCUAACAUUUUCCUACAAAAAUAUUGGUAGGAUAUCGCCCGUAGGAAAUCAUAAAUGGUAAGAUUUGGUAGGAAAUUUCCUACCAAAUUUCUACCAAAUCACGUUAUACAAAACGUCGUAAGUUAAAUCGUAGGAACAGAGAAUGUCAUUUUUGACCAUUUGCCUACAAAUAAAUCGUAGGAAACUUGUUCCUUCUAAUUUCCUACUAAAUAUUUCCUGCUCUUUUUCUUCAAAAUAAUCUUAUCAAUUUCCUACUAAAAAAAUAAAAUAAUAAUUUAUUUAUUUAUUCAAUAAUUAUAUUAUUAUGAAAAUUAUAUUAAAGUUUUAUAAUUACAAAUUUAAUAAUUUUCCUACCAAAUUUCUACUGCUUUUUUCUCUAAGAAAUUUCGUACGAGUUUUUUGCAACUAAGUUUCGUAGAAAAUUUCCUACUAAUUUCCUUAGACAAUUAUUUUUUGUAGAAUAAUCGUAAUUAUUUUGUAGGAAAUUUUUCUUACCAAAAGUUUUGUAGGAAAUUUAGUAGGAUAUAUCGAUAUAUAUAUAUAUCUUUCUUCAUUUUCUGAUCUUUCGACUUUUUUUCUUAUAACUUAAGAGUUACUUAUACAAUAGUACUGUCUACGCCAUGGAACACCAAUCCAUUCCAUUCCUUUAUGUGGCUCCUCCCUUCAUCCUCUCCUAAGAUAUUUAGCAAAAACAUUUUUUAUUAUAGCAUUUGAUUUCUCCCUCAGCUCCUCUUCAUUCUUCAAAGCUUUCUUAGCA
rnacentral:lncRNA from 1 species